AGUGAACGCUGGCGGUAGGCCUAACACAUGCAAGUCGAACGGCAGCACAGGAGAGCUUGCUCUCUGGGUGGCGAGUGGCGGACGGGUGAGGAAUACAUCGGAAUCUACUUUUUCGUGGGACAACGUAGGGAAACUUACGCUAAUACCGCAUACGACCUACGGGUGAAAGCAGGGGACCUUCGGGCCUUGCGCGAUUGAAUGAGCCGAUGUCGGAUUAGCUAGUUGGCGGGGUAAAGGCCCACCAAGGCGACGAUCCGUAGCUGGUCUGAGAGGAUGAUCAGCCACACUGGAACUGAGACACGGUCCAGACUCCUACGGGAGGCAGCAGUGGGGAAUAUUGGACAAUGGGCGCAAGCCUGAUCCAGCCAUACCGCGUGGGUGAAGAAGGCCUUCGGGUUGUAAAGCCCUUUUGUUGGGAAAGAAAUCCAGCUGGCUAAUACCCGGUUGGGAUGACGGUACCCAAAGAAUAAGCACCGGCUAACUUCGUGCCAGCAGCCGCGGUAA
rnacentral:rRNA from 1 species